AAAACAUGUCUUUUUGAAAAUAAUAUAAAGUCUAAUCUGCCCACUGAUUUUAAAUUGAAGGGCUGCAGUAUAUUGACUGUACAAAGGUAGCAUAAUCAUUAGUCAUUUAAUUGAUGACUUGUAUGAAAGAUUGAAUGAGAUAUAUACUGUCUCUAAUUUAAUUAUAAAAUUUAAUUUUUUUAUUAAAAAGUUAAGAUAUUUUAAAAAGACGAGAAGACCCUAUAGAGUUUAAUUGAUUAUUAAUUUGAUUUUAUAUUGAAAAAUAAUAAUGAAAUUUAAUAGUUUAUUUUAUUGGGGUGAUAAAAAAAUAAAUAAAACUUUUUUUAAUAAAAAACAUUUAUAAGUGAAUAAAUGAUCCAAUAAUAUUGAUUAUAAGAAAAAAUUACCUUAGGGAUAACAGCGUAAUUUUUUUUUUUAGUUCAAAUAAGAAAAAAAGUUUGCGACCUCGAUGUUGGAUUAAGAUAAAAUUUAAAUGUAGAAGUUUAAAAUUUUGAUCUGUUCGAUCAUUAAAAUCUUACAUGAUCU
rnacentral:rRNA from 1 species